AUCAUUUCUUGGCCUUUUGGCUAAGAUCAAGUGUUAGUAUCACCACACAUUUCGGUAUCAUUGCACAGCCCUUUAAACUGUGAAAUGUGAAGAACCUUGUGUUUUUAUCAUUCUUCUCUGCCCCAAAGCAUAACCUUUUGGGUCCAAAGAUCAGUAU
ensembl:snRNA U2 U2 spliceosomal RNA